UGGGGAAUAUUGCACAAUGGGGGAAACCCUUAUGCAGCGACGCCGCGUGAGCGAUGAAGGCUUUCGAGUCGUAAAGCUCUGUCCUCUGGGAAGAUAAUGACGGUACCAUAGAAGAAAGCCCCGGCUAAUUACGUGCCAGCAGCCGCGGUAAUACGUAAGGGGCGAGCGUUGUCCGGCAUUAUUGGGCGUAAAGAGUGCGUAGGCGGCAAAUUAAGUCAGAUGUGAAAACUAAGGGCUCAACCCAUAGAUUGCAUCUGAAACUGAUAUGCUUGAGUGAAGGAGAGGAAAGUGGAAUUCCUAGUGGAGCGGUGGAAUGCGUAGAUAUUAGGAGGAACACCGGUGGCGAAGGCGACUUUCGGGACUAGAAAUGACGCGGAGGAACGAAAGCGUGGGGAGCAAACAGG
rnacentral:rRNA from 1 species